CAACCGGCACCCGUAAACCCGACGAAAGAAACAAAAAAAAAAAGCGGCGGCGUCGGAAGGGGAUCGAGCGAGCAGCGAAGGCGAGGCGAGGAACCCUAAAUCCCAAUCGGAACCCUCAGGGGAUCCGGCGGCGGCGGAAGUGCUAGCUAGGAUUGGAGAGGCUCGGCGGGGAUCAGGCCAUGGCCACGGCGCUUCGCCACGCGGCGAGGAGGUUCGGAACCAGAGCGGCGGCGGAGGCGGAGGCGGAGGCUAUCAUUGAGCGUAGUCCGCUGUACACUAGCACACGGAUCGUCGAUUCCACCACAGGCCGUGUACGUGCUGCAAAAUCAACAUCCUCCCCCGCCUCCCCUCCCAAGCUUUGCUAAUACUACUAAUAUAGACCUCACGCCCAAUCAGAGGAAAGAUGCCAUCUUCCGCUUGGCUCAAAUCCAUGCCCAGAAAGAGGACCUCUACAACACAAUCGCUGCCUGGCAAGCUGACUACACUGCUAAGGGCAAUGUAGUGAACCGGAAAAACAACCUUCUGCUCAAACAACUCUCUCAGCAUGUCAAACCUAGACCCGAUGACCCCCGCUGGCGCUCAAGUCAGCGGGCAGUAUACUUUAAUGAUUUCCUCAAAUUCACGGGGGCGGUUUUGAUCGGCAAAAUGGCAGGAGAUGCCUUUAGUCAUUACAAGGCAAAGCAAGAUCAUGAUGGCCACAAAGGAUCAAGCUAGCUUGCUGCAUACAAGUCAACUAGUUAGUACCUGGUCUUGCAGAGAACCAAAUCAUAAGGCAUAUAUCAUGUCUGCUAGCUAGCUUCUUAUCACAAUUGUUAGAAUGUUGUGAAUGUGCCUACCGCACUUGUCGUCUCUGUUUAAUUAUGUUGCCGCCCUCUAUCAGUGUGUGUCAUAUCUGUUUUGCUGAUGAGUCAGUCUCGUCGAAUUAAAUAACUAGCUAUUGGUCGCUGUAUAUAUGUGUUUCCUCUUUCUUGGAA